rnacentral:lncRNA from 1 species
AUUAAAUUUCAAUGAAAUCUUAAUGAAAUCAAUUUCAAAUCCUAAUCAAAUCUUAAUCAAAUUCUAAAUCCUAAUUCUAAAUCAAAUUCUAAUGAAAUCCUAAAUCCUAAUAAAAUCUUCAUCAAAUCUUAAUCAAAUUUUAGACAAAUAUUAAUCAAAUUCUAAUCAAAUCCUAAAUCUUAACUCUUAAUUAUAAACCAAUUUUAAUCAAUCUUUAAUCAAAUCUUAAAUCUUAAACAAUCUCUCAAUAAAUCCUACAGUAAAUUGAAAAUUCAAUAAUUAAUGCUUGAACUGUUGAUUUUGAUUCAAAAUUUGUAAAAUUUGCAACAACUAAGUUAGAAAAAAGUAAAACUAAUUUGAAGAAGAUUUCUCAUACUAAAUAGAUGAUAAUCCUUAAACUUUGCUUGGGUGUCAACUUGCAUCCUUCUCAAACCUUGUUAUUGAUAUUUCCAAACUAUAAUUUAUUAAUUUCAUUGUUCAAUUGAUUCCAAAUUUUGUAUAAUUCUUAAAAAUUAAAUCAAAUAUCUUUGGAAAAAAUUAUAUUUCAAUCCAAUUGGCGGAUUGAUGGAUAUCUUAGAAAUCCUCACCAAUCCUCUAAAUUCUAAUUUUCGAGACCAUAAUCUAUAAAAUUCUUAUGUUCUUUAAUUUAACUAUUUGAUUGACCUCAAAUUUCUUAUAUACAUUUAAAACAAGUAUAAAUACAAACUACCAAAUUUCACUUAUAAAUAUGCUACAAAAUUUCCAAAACCAUUAAAUUUGUAAAUAUUUUUCAAAAUCUAAAUUCAACAAAUACAUUAACAAGUUUAAAAAUCCC